GUGCCAUUGUCGUAACCUCCAUAGUAAAGACCUGGGUCCUGAGGAGAAUAGGAAUUGAGUGGAUAAAAGGUGGGUAUAGCUCCAGCUUCAGAGGUAACAGGAUGAUCUUGCACAUUUCUUGAAGCCCCAGGGAAUGCUCCAUCUGGAGAAGCAUUUGCAGAACCAAUCCUUUCAUCUUUGGGUGAAAUAGGCUGUUCUGCAACAUUAUGCGGCUCCUCAACUCUUUCACCUGAAGAUGAUACAGAAGUAAAUGGAUCGAU
rnacentral:misc_RNA from 1 species